rnacentral:rRNA from 1 species
GACGAACGCUGGCGGCGUGCCUAAUACCUGCAAGUUGAGCGCUGAAGGUUGGUACUUGUACCGACUGGAUGAGCAGCGAACGGGUGAGUAACGCGUGGGGAAUCUGCCUUUGAGCGGGGGACAACCUUUGGAAACGAAUGCUAAUACCGCAUAAAACCUUUACACACAAGUUUUAAGUUUGAAAGCUGCAAUUGCAUCACUCAAAGAUGAUCCCGCAUUGUAUUAGCUAUUGGGUGGGGUAAAGGGUCACCAAGGCGAUGAUACAUAGCCGACCUGAGAGGGUGAUCGGCCACAUUGGGACUGAGACACGGCCCAAACUCCUACGGGAGGCAGCAGUAGGGAAUCUUCGGCAAUGGACGAAAGUCUGACCGAGCAACGCGGCGUGAGUGAAGAAGAUUUUCGGAUCGUAAAACUCUGUUGGUAGAGAAGAACGUUGGUGAGAGUGGAAAGCUCAUCAAGUGACGGUAACUACCCAGAAAGGGACGGCUAACUACCUGCCAGCAGCCGCCGUAA